rnacentral:misc_RNA from 1 species
UCCGGUUUGACACCGGCAGUCUCCCUAGAGUGCCCGGCUUUACCCGCUGGUAACUAGGGACGAGGGUUGCGCUCGUUGCGGGACUUAACCCAACACCUCACGGCACGAGCCGACGACAGCCAUGCAGCACCUGUGCUAGCUCCCCGAAGGGUCCUUCACGUUUCUGAUCCGUACCACUAGCAUGUCAAGCCCUGGUAAGGUUCUUCGCGUUGCAUCGAAUUAAACCACACGCUCCGCCGCUUGUGCGGGCCCCCGUCAAUUCCUUUGAGUUUCAGCCUUGCGGCCGUACUCCCCAGGCGGGGCACUUAACGCGUUAGCCGCGGCACCGAAGGGGUCGUUCCCCCCGGCACCUAGUGCCCAUCGUUUACGGCGUGGACUAC